rnacentral:rRNA from 1 species
AAGAAGGCCUUCGGGUUGUAAAGCACUUUCAGUCGUGAGGAAGGUAGUGUAGUUAAUAGCUGCAUUAUUUGACGUUAGCGACAGAAGAAGCACCGGCUAACUCCGUGCCAGCAGCCGCGGUAAUACGGAGGGUGCGAGCGUUAAUCGGAAUUACUGGGGCGUAAAGCGCAUGCAGGUGGUUUGUUAAGUCAGAUGUGAAAGCCCGGGGCUCAACCUCGGAAUUGCAUUUGAAACUGGCAGACUAGAGUACUGUAGAGGGGGGUAGAAUUUCAGGUGUAGCGGUGAAAUGCGUAGAGAUCUGAAGGAAUACCGGUGGCGAAGGCGGCCCCCUGGACAGAUACUGACACUCAGAUGCGAAAGCGUGGGGAGCAAACAGGAUUAGAUACCCUGGUAGUCCACGCCGUAAACGAUGUCUACUUGGAGGUUGUGGCCUUGAGCCCGUGGCUUUCGGAGCUAACGCGUUAAGUAGACCGCCUGGGGAGUACGGUCGCAAGAUUAAAACUCAAAUGAAUUGACGGGGGCCCGCACAAGCGGUGGAGCAUGUGGUUUAAUUCGAUGCAACGCGAAGAACCUUACCUACUCUUGACAUCCAGAGAACUUUCCAGAGAUGGAUUGGUGCCUUCGGGAACUCUGAGACAGG